UAGAAUGCUGUGGAAAAGUUUCUGAGAAGGGAGAGAAAUGGAGGGAAGUGAGACAUGACUAAGAUGUAGGUAAAAAGGAAUAAAGGUUUUCCCUGCUCAAAACUCUCAUGAAGAAAUUAAUGGAGAAGGAAAGCACAAAGCAUGCUUGAAAGAAAGCAUGUUCCUGGUGUGAGAGCAGUAGCGUUACCCAGAUGCAGGAAGACAAUGACAGAACAAGGCCAUGAAAAGGAUGGCUACACACAGAGCAGCUUUUGUAUAGCUAUACCAUUUAUCUUGGACCUGGCAAUUGAGACUAAAGAAAGGUGUUAUCAGACAAAAGUAGUGCUUUGGGAAGUAGGAAGAAGACACCUUGGGUGCAAAAAAAUGCCAUGAAGAAUUGAAAUGGUUGAAGCUCAUAUUAGAGUACUUGUUUCAGACAUCUGUCUUGCUCUUCAGCCCCUACUUUUACCAAGAGAGAGGAGGAAAAGUCUAGAGAGCAAACAGACUCAAGAAAACAAACCUGAGCUUGGGACAAAAACAAUCUUACAGUAUUGAUAAAGCUCAAGCAUUGAGAAAGAAAAGCAAAAAGAGGCCUAUCUGUAACACAAGAGUUUUGAGGAACUGCUGCUGAGACUGAAAGAGGAAAUCUAAAAAGAGAGAGCAUGGACAAGUGGGGACUGGAGACUGAACAGCAAGAACUGUUUG
rnacentral:lncRNA from 1 species